AGAUUGUGGAACCAUGCAUACAAGGCGUAUAAUGUUGUUUCACUUGGAAUUGCACCUUUCAUCAUUAUUGCAAAUUGUGUCAACCAGGUUUUGAUGCCUAGAGGUGACUUGGGGAACGAUUUGUGGCCCACUAUGAUGUUUACAUCACAGGCUUUCCAGACUUUGACACUUGCAUACUUUUGCAGCUUUGCUACUGCUACAUCAAAUGUUGCUGUAGUUUCAAUGGAGCAGGUGUUUGGCCCCAUGAGCUACCUUUUUCAGCACAAACUUGGGAGAUGUGGUUGAUAAGGUCUAAGCUGUGGAUAUUGAACUGUUACAAUGGGGAUAUUGAACUGUUACAAUGUGGUUGUUAUUAGUCAUUUUGACCAGUUCUUACUAUUCAGGUUCACAACGUGGUGUAGGCUUAAGGUUUAGAUGGUCUCUUAUUGAGAGUCAACUUAUGUUGCUUGUGC